GACGAACGCUGGCGGCGUGCUUAAUACAUGCAAGUCGAGCGCUGAAGCUUGGUACUUGUACCAACUGGAUGAGCAGCGAACGGGUGAGUAACGCGUGGGGAAUCUGCCUUUGAGUGGGGGACAACCUUGGGAAACGGGUGCUAAUACCGCAUAAGAACUUUAAACACAAGGUUUAAUGUUGAAAGAGGCAAUUUCGUCAUUUAAGGGUGAUCGCCCGGUGUAUUAGCUGGUUGGUGAGUUAAAGACGCAUCAAGGCGAUGAUAGGUGGCCGGCCUGAGAGGGUGACCGGCCACAAUGGGACUGGGAAGCGGCCCAGACGCAUUCGGGGGGCAGCAGUGGAGGAUAUAGCACGCUGGGCGGAAGCAUGAAGCAGCGACUCCGCGUGGGAGAUGACGGUUGGCGGGUUGUAAACCUCUUGCGGCUGGGAAGAAGCGAAAGUGACGGUAAGUGCACAAAAAGCGCCGGCUAACUACGUG
rnacentral:rRNA from 1 species